rnacentral:rRNA from 1 species
GACGAACGCUGGCGGCGUGCUUAACACAUGCAAGUCGAGCGGAGCGGCGCACGGGUGAGUAACGCGUGAGUAACUGCCCCCCUCUCUGGGCUAACAGUUGGAAACGGCUGCUAAUACCGGAUAGUGGGGGCUGACUCGCGUCCUAUCGGCCAGUUGGUGGGGUAGUGGCCUCCCAAGGCGACGACGGGUAGCCGGCCUAAGAGGGCGACCGGCCAAAUAGGUCUGGGAUACAGCACAAGCUCCACCGGGAGGCAGCAGUGGGGAAUAUUUCGCAAUGUGGGAAGCCCUGAUGCAGCAACGCCGAGGGCGAGAUGACGGCCUUCGAGUUGUAAACCGCUUUCAGCCAUGACGCGGUAGUGGCAGAGUAAGCACCGGCUAACUACGUGCCAGCGGCCGCGGUAAUUC